UACGAAGGGGGGCUAGCGUUGCUCGGAAUUACUGGGCGUAAAGCGUGCGCAGGCGGUUUGGAAAGAAAGAUGUGAAAUCCCAGAGCUUAACUUUGGAACUGCAUUUUUAACUGCCAAGCUAGAGUAUGUCAGAGGGGGGUAGAAUUCCACGUGUAGCAGUGAAAUGCGUAGAGAUGUGGAGGAAUACCGAUGGCGAAGGCAGCCCCCUGGGAUAAUACUGACGCUCAUGCACGAAAGCGUGGGGAGCAAACAGG
rnacentral:rRNA from 1 species